rnacentral:rRNA from 1 species
UACGUAGGGUGCAAGCGUUAAUCGGAAUUACUGGGCGUAAAGCGUGCGCAGGCGGUUUUGUAAGUCUGUCGUGAAAUCCCCGGGCUCAACCUGGGAAUUGCGAUGGAGACUGCAAGGCUGGAGUCUGGCAGAGGGGGGUAGAAUUCCACGUGUAGCAGUGAAAUGCGUAGAGAUGUGGAGGAACACCUGUGGUGUAGACAGCUUACUGGACGAUAACUGACGCUGAGGCACGAAAGCGUGGGUAGCAAACAGG